AGAUUGGACGCUGGCGGCAUGCUUUACACAUGCAAGUCGAACGGUAACAGGCCGCAAGGUGCUGACGAGUGGCGAACGGGUGAGUAAUGUAUCGGAACGUGCCCAGUCGUGGGGGAUAACGCAGCGAAAGCUGCGCUAAUACCGCAUACGAUCUAUGGAUGAAAGCCGGGGACCUUCGGGCCUGGCGCGGAUAGAUGAGCCGAUGUCGGAUUAGCUUGUUGGCGGGUAAAAGCCCACAAGGCGACGAUCCGUAGCUGGUCUGAGAGGAUGAUCAGCCACACUGGAACUGAGACACGGUCCAGACUCCUACGGGAGCAGCAGUGGGAAUAGUGGACAAUGGGCGCAAGCCUGAUCCAGCCAUACCGCGUGGUGAAGAGGCCUUGGUGUAAAGCCCUUUUAGGUCGGAAAGAACUCCGUAGCCGUUAAUAACCGAGUAGGAUGACGGUAACCAAAGAAUAAGCAACCGGCUAACUUCG
rnacentral:rRNA from 1 species